rnacentral:rRNA from 1 species
CAGUAGCCACGGUAAUGCGUAGGUGGCAAGCGUUGUCCGGAAUUAUUGGGCGUAAAGGGCUCGCAGGCGGUUUCUUAAGUCUGAUGUGAAAGCCCCCGGCUCAACCGGGGAGGGUCAUUGGAAACUGGGAAACUUGAGUGCAGAAGAGGAGAGUGGAAUUCCACGUGUAGCGGUGAAAUGCGUAGAGAUGUGGAGGAACACCAGUGGCGAAGGCGACUCUCUGGUCUGUAACUGACGCUGAGGAGCGAAAGCGUGGGUAGCGAACAGGAUUAGAUACCCCGGUAGUCCCUGUCUCUUAUAC